AUCUUGAUGGUGUAAAACCCCCUUUCGGGGACCCCCACUUUAGUCUCGGGAGUGAGAGAGCACCCAAAGAAAUACGAGAAUCU
rnacentral:pre_miRNA from 7 species